AAAGGAAUAGACGGGGGCCCGCACAAGCAGUGGAGUAUGUGGUUUAAUUCGAAGCAACGCGAAGAACCUUACCAGGGCUUGACAUGUACUAGAAUAGGUAAGAGAUUACCUAGACCUUCGGGACUGGUACACAGGUGGUGCAUGGUUGUCGUCAGCUCGUGUCGUGAGAUGUUGGGUUAAGUCCCGCAACGAGCGCAACCCCUGUUUCUAGUUGCCAGCACGUAAAGGUGGGAACUCUAGAAAGACUGCCGGUGAUAAAUCGGAGGAAGGUGGGGAUGACGUCAAAUCAUCAUGCCCUAUAUGUCCUGGGCUACACACGUACUACAAUGGCCGUGACAAAGGGAAGCGAAGUAGAGAUAUGGAGCGAAACCCAAAAAGCGGUCUCAGUUCGGAUUGAAGGCUGAAAUUCGCCUACAUGAAGCUGGAAUUGCUAGUAAUGGCAGGUCAGCAUACUGUCGUGAAUACGUUCCCGGGCCUUGUACACACCGCCCGU
rnacentral:rRNA from 1 species